rnacentral:rRNA from 1 species
UGCAUGUGUAAGCGAAGCGAUAUGUGGAGCGGUGAAAGGCUCAGUAACGGGCGAUUUAUUUGAUCUCCUGGGACGGACAACAUCGGGAAACUGAUGGGAAAACGUCUAAGUUGCAGUUAAAUGAUUGUGACGUAAACCAUAGUGUGCAGGAGAGUAAGAUGCCAUCCUAUCAGUUAGUAAGUAGGGUAAGGGCCUACUUAGACGAAGACGGGUACGGGGAAUGAGGGUUUGAUUCCGGAGAGGGAGCCUGAGAGAUGGCUACCAGGACCAAGGUCAGCAGCAGGCGCGAAAAUUAUCGAAGCCCGCCUAGGGGCGAUAGUGAGGAGACGUGUAUACGAAGUACGUGUAAAGACCGUACUAAUAACUGGAGGUCAAGUCUGGUGCCAGCAGCCGCG